CAAUCAGCCUCACACUAUAGCCUAGCCCAGCGUUAUAAUUUUGACGUAUCCUAACUAUGUUGUGUUUUCAGGAAUCAAGAAUGCAGGGGGCCAAAAGAUCCAAGCUGGAGUUGGUGGGAUAUUUGCACCAAGUGUCCCCCAUAUGCAACCCAGGCCAGUCAAAAAAGUCCUAUUUUACAGUCAUGCUGCAGGUGGCCACAAAAAAUUCUCGAGUGGUGGUGUUUUCUCCACAAAAGCACCAAUGGUAUCUUACAGCGGCAAGAGACCGAUCUCCUAUCAAGUUGGAGGACGUGGUGUUAACCACAUCAAUACAGCACGAAGGUCAGACAGAUCUUGGCCAACAAGAGGACCAAAACCACAUGCGUCUGCCAUCUCAACUUCAACUAUGACAUGUUGGCAGACGAAAGUGUUCCAACAAGAACACUUGAAGAAGUAAUCAAUGAGUCGCGAGAGUUUCAAAAAGUAACCGUCUGUGUUAAAGUUAUGGAUGAGAGGGAAAGGGGAGAGGCGACUACACGCAACAAGAAGACUUUGCCAAAAACUGUGUAUGCUGUGUCUGAUGUAACUCGGUCCAUUUCACUCAGUGUGGGGUGACACUCAUUUGAAAAUAGUACAGUGGUACACUGUCAAGGAAGCGUCUGUUCGGCUGUUUUUAGGCAAAACUGUCCUAACUACAACACCAAAGAGUUUGAUCACUGAAGCCAAUGAUGCUGGACCAGCUGUACCUCCACCAGAAGAUGAUAUGGAAAGAGUAAGUGGCGAAAUAAUCAGUGGAAAUGUAUUUUUUGAGUAUGUUUGUCAAAACCGCCACAGUUUAACAGAAGUUAACACAG